AAUUCAAUGGAAAGACAGGUUCACUCAGACUUGGGGUGUAACAUAAUGUUAGGGAUUGAAAUCCUAAUCCACCCGUUUGGGCCUUCAACACAAAACUGGCCUUAGGGCGAGGUAUGCACCGGAUUUAAAAUGACCGAAUAGAAGGAACUCUCAUCAGUUGUGGCCAAAUUGAAAAUGCUUCUCCAAAAUGCAAAGUUGCAACAAUGAUGGCGCUUCAACAAUUCUUCGCAUCGGUAUCACGACUAUAGAUCUGGAGCACCGGCGUUGCAUCGUGGAUUCAUCAUGAUUCAUGUUUCAAGAUUCAUCACUCAUGUUAGCGUUUCAAUCAUCAUCGCGUUCGCUUCAAAACGCUCAAGCUCGCGCACGCAAACUCGAGGGGCAAUGCAGAUUUAUCCCGGAAAAUUAAUGUUGAAGUAAGAAGCGGCAGAAAACUCACCGGAUCAGAAUCGGAGCUGGUGCGGUGACCUCCCUGGGAACAACCGGCACGCUUCUUCUUUCAUAUUCGUUCUCUUCUUCUUCUUCUACCGCUUGAACUCUUCUUCUUCUCGUGUCUUCUUUCUGAGCAUUAUUGUUGUUAGCUCCGUUAUAAGUGUAGAGAGAGGUUCAGAGAGUCAGUGUUUAUUGUGUGCAGAGCCUCGAAGCUUCAGAGAAAUCAAGAGAAUUGGACUUAUCAGACGAUGCAGAGUGAUGAAUUCAGUGCCCCCUAAAUUGUGAUUGCAAUGACGAAUUUAUAGAGUUCAACAAUGAUAACUCUGUUAAUCUCCAUCGAACCUCUUAGUGCAUAGUUAGUUAAGUGUUAAGCUAUCGUUAAGAAUCUGUUAGAAAGUUAGUUGCAAUGUAAAUGCGGUUAGAGUGAUUGGUUAGCAUCUAUUAAAUGUCUUGGAUUAAUUCUCUCAGUUUUCGUUUGCAGGGUUAGUUUAACCGCUAAUUUGAAACUAGUUAUUGGGUGCAGAAUGAUGUGGAAAUAGAGUGGAGUUAAUAUACUUUUACUCUGUUAUGAUAUUCUGUAGAUACAAGUGAGUUGUUGAGUCGUGCUAUGUGGAUGAAUGGAAAGUUCACUGGAAAGUUCACAUCUUACUUGGACUUCAUAUGGUAUGAUUGUUGCUUGAAGUUUCUCAUCUCAGUUUCCCUUCAAAUUAAUUUUUUGCUACUGCAUAGACUACAUAUGCCUAAAAUCGCUUUGCUAUUGCCGGUUUGGACUGUUGCUUGAAGUUUGUAUGUCAUGAAGUUUUGAUAUCAAUUUGGAUUCCUUCCAUCCUUGCUUAUGUGAAUGCAUUGGUGCGGCUGUUUUACAGGACUGAGAUAGACUUUUUCUUUCAUUUGAAUUGCUCAUGAUGUAUGUAAGUUUGAUGUAUGUAGCAUAAAAUAUAUGUGAAUAACCUAUGAGGCAUAAUGUAAUGCUUAUGUAAAAUGUUUGUUUUAAUAAUAAAAAAUUACUUAUGAUUGUAAUUUACUCAAAACUCAUCUUGCCUUGUUAUAUGUAUGAGACAUUUCCAUGUAAUGAAUGCUAGCCAUGAAAUUGAGCAUGUAUAGAAAAUUUAUGGAACUUUGAAUUGAAAUGUAUGGAUUGAAUAUAAUGGAUAUUGGUGGACCUUGACCUUA